CGAAUUAAGGAGGUAGACCUAGGUUAAGGGAAAUAACUCUUAAAAUCAUUAGUACGUUUGUGUCAACCAUUUUCAAAAAUAUAUUCUAAGCUUCUAGGUUACAUAGAUUAUUUUCAAUCUGUUUCAGGUGAAUGCUUAAAAUACAUUGAUGAACUUGACUUUUACAAACGCUUAACUGAUUUAAAGAGUUAUCUCCCUGAACCAAGGUCUACUCCCUUAAAUUAAUUCGAAUUAGUU
rnacentral:lncRNA from 1 species